rnacentral:rRNA from 1 species
GAGUUUGAUCCUGGCUCAGGAUGAACGCUGGCGGCGUGCUUAACACAUGCAAGUCGAACGAAGCACUCUUUUAGAUUUCCUUCGGGGAAGAAGAAAUUGUGACUGAGUGGCGGACGGGUGAGUAACGCGUGGGCAACCUGCCCCAUACAGGGGGAUAACAGCCGGAAACGGCUGCUAAAACCGCAUAAGCGCACAAGGGCCGCAUGGCCUGGUGUGAAAAACUCCGGUGGUACGGGAUGGGCCCGCGUCUGAUUAGCUAGUUGGCGGGGGAGAGGCCCACCAAGGCGACGAUCAGUAGCCGACCUGAGAGGGUGGCCGGCCACAUUGGGACUGAGACACGGCCCAAACUCCUACGGGAGGCAGCAGUGGGGAAUAUUGCACAAUGGGGGAAACCCUGAUGCAGCGACGCCGCGUGAGCGAAGAAGUAUUUCGGUAUGUAAAGCUCUAUCAGCAGGGAAGAAAAAUGACGGUACCUGAGUAAGAAGCACCGGCUAAAUACGCGCCAGCAGCCGCGGUAAUACGUAUGGUGCAAGCGUUAUCCGGAUUUACUGGGUGUAAAGGGAGCGCAGGCGGUGCGGCAAGUCUGAUGUGAAAGCCCGGGGCUCAACCCCGGGACUGCAUUGGAAACUACCGAACUAGAGUGUCGGAGAGGUAAGUGGAAUUCCUAGUGUAGCGG